rnacentral:rRNA from 1 species
GUGAGUAGUUCAGAGUUUGAUCCUGGCUCAGGACGAACGCUGCGGCGUGCCUAACACAUGCAAGUCGAACGGGGUGAGAUCCUUCGGGGUUUCACUUAGUGGCGAACGGGUGAGUAACGCGUGAGAAACCUGCCUUUCAGUGGGGGACAACAGUUGGAAACGACUGCUAAUACCGCAUAAUGUACAUGGACCGCAUGAUCUGUGUACCAAAGCUUUAUGUGCUGAAAGAUGGUCUCGCGUCUGAUUAGCUAGAUGGCGGGGUAACGGCCCACCAUGGCGACGAUCAGUAGCCGGUCUGAGAGGAUGAACGGCCACAUUGGGACUGAGAUACGGCCCAG